GAUGAACGCUAGCUACAGGCUUAACACAUGCAAGUCGAGGGGCAGCAUGAUUGAAGCUUGCUUCAAUCGAUGGCGACCGGCGCACGGGUGAGUAACACGUAUCCAACCUGCCGAUAACUCGGGGAUAGCCUUUCGAAAGAAAGAUUAAUACCCGAUAGUAUAGUAUUUCCGCAUGGUUUCACUAUUAAAGAACUUCGGUUAUCGAUGGGGAUGCGUUCCAUUAGAUAGUUGGCGGGGUAACGGCCCACCAAGUCAACGAUGGAUAGGGGUUCUGAGAGGAAGGUCCCCCACAUUGGAACUGAGACACGGUCCACACUCCUACGGGAGGCAGCAGUGAGGAAUAUUGGUCAAUGGACGAGAGUCUGAACCAGCCAAGUAGCGUGAAGGAUGACUGCCCUAUGGGUUGUAAACUUCUUUUAUACGGGAAUAAAGUGGAGUAUGCAUACUCCUUUGUAUGUACCGUAUGAAUAAGGAUCGGCUAACUCCGUG
rnacentral:rRNA from 1 species